rnacentral:pre_miRNA from 1 species
AAAAAAACAAACCCUGGAUUUCCGUGUCCAACGUUUGACCGUCUGUCUUAUUUGAAAAAAUUAUAAAAAAAAUUUAAAAGACAAGUCACGCAUAAAAUAUUAAUCAUGUUUUAUCAUCUAACAAUAAUAAAAAUACUAAUUAUAAAAAAAUUUAUAUAAGACGGACAGUCAAAUGUUGGACACGAAAACCCAUGGUUUGUCUUUUU